GACGAACGCUGGCGGCGUGCCUAACACAUGCAAGUCGAGCGGAAAUAAUUGAAAGCUUGCUUUUGGUUAUUUUAGCGGCGGACGGGUGAGUAACGCGUGGGCAACCUGCCUGUUACAGGGGGAUAACACAGGGAAACUUGUGCUAAUACCGCAUAACACAGCGAGGUAGCAUUACCUUGUUGUCAAGGGAGAAAUCCGGUGACAUAUGGGCCCGCGUCCAAUUAGGUAGUUGGUGAUGUAACGGACCACAAAGGCGACGAUUGGUAGCCGAACUGAGAGGUUGAUCGGCAACAGUGGGACUGAGACACGGCCCAGACUCCUACGGGAGGCAGCAGUGGGGAAUAUUGCACAAUGGGGGAAACCCUGAUGCAGCAACGCCGCGUGGAGGAUGAAGGUUUUCGGAUUGUAAACUUCUUUAGUCAGGGACGAAAAAAAUGACGGUACCUGAAGAAUAAGCCACGGCUAACUACGUGCCAGCCGCCGCGGUAA
rnacentral:rRNA from 1 species